UUACGGUCACAUCACGUUGAAACAUCAGUUCUCGUACGAUCACCGAAGUUAAGCAACUUGAGCCUGGUCGGGACGUAGAUGGGUGACCGCUUGGGAAUACUAGGCGCUGUAAG